CUGCUUGUGCUGUGCGGUUUUGACGA
rnacentral:sRNA from 1 species